CACUGCUCGAAGAUUGCCGCUCCGACUGCUCAACUUUACGCAGCACGAGCCGACAAGUUUCCUCACUAAAAGGACAAUCGGUAGAAGAGAGACACAGAAGCCAACACAUAAAGAAAAUAACGCAAUAUUGAGUACAAACACGUUUCUGUCAUGAUCUGAGAUCCUAGGAGAGGCCCAAGCGCUCGCAUGCCCAGUAGACAUUCUACGGAAGCCAUAAAUCCAUCUGGUAAACCCGCCAAGUAUAGAGAAGCCCGAAAAACGCAGCCUUAACGCUGAUCCGUUCUAUUAGGAACACAAAAGAAACCAUCCAUGUUUAGAGAUACGCAAGGAUUUAAUGGGGAUUUUUGUUGCGUAGUCAUCCAUGGAGCUCAUAGUUACAUGUUCCUCGGUUAAAAUUUUUAUCUUGGUUCAAACUCAUACUGUUUUAGCAUUUCAUUUACGGUCGUCGCUCGGCGACAAAGGUCGCCAUUGCAUGUCUUUAUAAGACAACAAAUAAUACUGCAUUCUGAUUGGCUCUCAUAGCCAUGUUGAUCGAUGAUUGGUUAGUUUUUCGACUUUGUGUAAAUACAAAUUAAACUGGAAGCAACAGAA